GCAAAGGUGGCUUAGUGGUUAGCACUUUUGCCUCACACCUCCAUGGUUGGGGGUUCGAAUCCCCCCUUCUACC